GGCCACGUCGCCAAGUGGUAANGCAGGGGUCUGCAAAACCCUUAUCGCGAGUUCGAUUCUCGCCGUGGCCUCCA
rnacentral:tRNA from 1 species